UACGGGGGGGGCAAGCGUUGUUCGGAAUUACUGGGCGUAAAGGGCUCGUAGGCGGCCAACUAAGUCCGACGUGAAAUCCCCAGGCUUAACCUGGGAACUGCGUCGGAUACUGGAUGGCUUGAAUUCGGGAGAGGGAUGCAGAAUUCCAGGUGUAGCGGUGAAAUGCGUAGAUAUUCGGAGGAACACCGAUGGCGAAGGCAAUCCCCUGGGCCUGCACUGACGCUCAUGCACGAAAGCGUGGGGAGCAAACAGG
rnacentral:rRNA from 1 species